UACGGGGGGGGCAAGCGUUGUUCGGAAUUACUGGGCGUAAAGAGCGCGUAGGCGGCCCGCUAAGUCGAACGUGAAAUCCCCAGGCUCAACCUGGGAACUGCGUCCGAUACUGGCAGGCUUGAAUCCGGGAGAGGGAUGUGGAAUUCCAGGUGUAGCGGUGAAAUGCGUAGAUAUCUGGAGGAACACCGGUGGCGAAGGCGGCGAUCCUGGACCGGUAUUGACGCUGAGGCGCGAAAGCUAGGGGAGCAAACGGG
rnacentral:rRNA from 1 species